rnacentral:rRNA from 1 species
AUUGAACGCUGGCGGCAGGCCUAACACAUGCAAGUCGAACGGUAGCACAGAGAGCUUGCUCUCGGGUGACGAGUGGCGGACGGGUGAGUAAUGUCUGGGAAACUGCCUGAUGGAGGGGGAUAACUACUGGAAACGGUAGCUAAUACCGCAUAACGUCGCAAGACCAAAGAGGGGGACCUUCGGGCCUCUUGCCAUCAGAUGUGCCCAGAUGGGAUUAGCUAGUAGGUGGGGUAACGGCUCACCUAGGCGACGAUCCCUAGGUGGUCUGAGAGGAUGACCAGCCACCCUGGAACUGAGACACGGUCCAGACUCCUAAGGGAGGCAGCAGUGGGGAAUAUUGCACAAUGGGCGCAAGCCUGAUGCAGCCAUGCCGCGUGUAUGAAGAAGGCCUUCGGGUUGUAAAGUACUUUCAGCGAGGAGGAAGGCGAUACGGUUAAUAACCGUGUCGAUUGACGUUACUCGCAGAAGAAGCACCGGCUAACUCCGUGCCAGCAGCCGCCGUAA